UGGAUGACCUGCCCUUCAGCGGGGAAUAACCCGGGGAAACUACGGGCUAAUACCGCAUACGACCGAGAGGUGAAAGGGGCCGCAAGGCUCUCACUGAAGGAGGGGUCCGCGUCUGAUUAGCUAGUUGGUAGGGUAAUGACCUACCAAGGCUACGAUCAGUAGCUGGUCUGACGAGGAUGAUCAGCCACAUUGGGACUGAGACACGGCCCAAACUCCUACGGGAGGCAG
rnacentral:rRNA from 1 species